GACGAACGCUGGCGGCGUGCCUAAUACAUGCAAGUCGAACGAACCGCGACUAAGUGCUUGCACUAAGUCAAGGUGAGUGGCGAACGGGUGAGUAACACGUGGGUAACCUACCUCAUAGUGGGGGAUAACAGUCGGAAACGACUGCUAAUACCGCAUAGGACAUAGGAUCACAUGAUCCAGUGAGGAAAGGUGGCGCAAGCUAUCGCUAAGAGAUGGACCCGCGGUGCAUUAGCUAGUUGGUAGGGUAAAGGCCUACCAAGGCGAUGAUGCAUAGCCGACCUGAGAGGGUGAUCGGCCACAUUGGAACUGAGACACGGCCCAAACUCCUACGGGAGGCAGCAGUAGGGAAUCUUCCGCAAUGGACGCAAGUCUGACGGAGCAACGCCGCGUGAGUGAAGAAGGUCUUCGGAUCGUAAAGCUCUGUUGUUAGAAAAGAACAGCGCAUAGAGUAACUGCUAUGCGUGUGACGGUAUCUAACCAGAAAGCCACGGCUAACUACGUG
rnacentral:rRNA from 1 species